rnacentral:rRNA from 1 species
AAAGAAACCAACAGGGAUUGCCUCAGUAACGGCGAGUGAAGCGGCAAAAGCUCAUAUUUAUCAUUAAAUCAGUUAUCGUUUAUUUGAUAGUAACUUGCUACUUGGCAUACGCCUGGCAAUUCUAGAGCUAAUACAUGCGCACAGGCCCAACGCAAGGCGGGCCGUAUUUAUUAGAUAAAAAAUCAACAAUACAGAUGAUUCAUAAUAACUUGUCGAAUCGCAUGGCCCCGAGCCGACGAUGAUUCAUUCAAAUUUCUGCCCUAUCAAACUUUGAUGGUAGGAUAGAGGCCUACCAUGGUGGUAACGGGUAACGGAGAAUUAGGGUUCUAUUCCGGAGAGGGAGCCUGAGAAACGGCUACCACUUCCAAGGAAGGCAGCAGGCGCGCAAAUUACCCAAUCCUGACACAGGGAGGUAGUGACAAUAAAUAACAAUACAGGUCCCGAACAGGUCUUGUAAUUGGAAUGAGUACAAUUUAAACCCCUUAACGAGUAACAAUUAGAGGGCAAGUCUGGUGCCAGCAGCCGCGGUAAUUCCAGCUCUAAUAGCGUAUAUUAAAGUUGUUGCGGUUAAAAAGCUCGUAGUUGAACUUCCCCCGGCGCGGGCCCCUGUUUUUCGGGGGACUUGGGCCGGGGUCCUUCGGGAAAUUACUUUGAGUAAACGAGAGUGUUCAAAGCAGGCGCGCAGCCUGAAUCUUCAAGCAUGGAAUAAUAAAACAGGACAAUGGUUCUAUUUUGUUGGUUAUAAGCCAUCGUAAUGAUUAAUAGGGACGGUCGGGGGCAUCAGUAUUCAGUAGUCAGAGGUGAAAUUCUUAGAUUUACUGAAGACUAACUACUGCGAAAGCAUUUGCCAAGGACGUUUUCAUUAAUCAAGAACGAAAGUUAGGGGAUCGAAGAUGAUCAGAUACCGUCGUAGUCUUAACCAUAAACUAUGCCGACUAGGGACGGGCGCGCUCACAACAGACGCGCUCGGCACCUUACGAGAAAUCAAAGUUUUUGGGUUCUGGGGGGAGUGUGGUCGCAAGGCUGAACACUUACACGGAAUUGACGGAAGGGCACCACCAGGAGUGGAGCCUGCGGCUUAAUUUGACUCAACACGGGGAAAACUCACCAGGUCCAGACACAAUAAGGAUUGACAGAUUGAGAGCUCUUUCUUGAUUUUGUGGGUGGUGGUGCAUGGCCGUUCUUAGUUGGUGGAGUGAUUUGUCUGCUUAAUUGCGAUAACGAACGAGACCUUGGCCUCUAACUAGGGUGCGCAGCGGUAGCUACGCGACCUUCUUAGGGGGACUAUUGAUGUAAGUCGAUGGAAGUUCGAGGCAAUAACAGGUCUGUGAUGCCCUUAGACGUUCUGGGCCGCACGCGCGCUACACUGACGGAGGCAGCGAGUUGACCUUUGCCGAGAGGCAUGGGAAAUCUUGAAACUCCGUCGUGCUGGGGAUAGAGCAUUGCAAUUUUUGCUCUUCAACGAGGAAUUCCUAGUAAGCGCAAGUCAUCAGCUUGCGUUGAUUACGUCCCUGCCCUUUGUACACACCGCCCGUCGCUACUACCGAUUGAAUGGCUUAGUGAGGUUUUUGGACUGGGGCGACCCGGGAAAACUAUCAAACUUGGUCAUUUAGCAGGAAGUAAAAGUCGUAACAAGGUUUCCGUAUGUGAACCUGCGGAAGGAUCAUUAUUGAA